rnacentral:rRNA from 1 species
GACGAACGCUGGCGGCGUGCUUAACACAUGCAAGUCGAACGGAAAGGCCCUGCUUUUGUGGGGUGCUCGAGUGGCGAACGGGUGAGUAACACGUGAGUAACCUGCCCUUGACUUUGGGAUAACUUCAGGAAACUGGGGCUAAUACCGGAUAGGAGCUCCUGCUGCAUGGUGGGGGUUGGAAAGUUUCGGCGGUUGGGGAUGGACUCGCGGCUUAUCAGCUUGAUUGUGGGGUAGUGGCUUACCAAGGCUUUGACGGGUAGCCGGCCUGGGAGGGUGACCGGCCACAUUGGGACUGAGAUACGGCCCAGACUCCUACGGGAGGCAGCAGUGGGGAAUAUUGCACAAUGGGCGGAAGCCUGAUGCAGCAACGCCGCGUGCGGGAUGACGGCCUUCGGGUUGUAAACCGCUUUCGCCUGUGACGAAGCGUGAGUGACGGUAAUGGGUAAAGAAGCACCGGCUAACUACGUG